AGCCAGGCAUAUUGUCUUGGACAGAUCACGGCUGAGUCCUCUCUAUCCUCUGAAUUUAAACAAGGGCAUUUGUGAAGAGUGCUGGUGACCUCAUCUGACUAGAGAAAAUGUUCCUGUGGCAUCUGAAGCUCAUAUUUCCACAGAGCAGCACCGAGUUCAGUCAGAAAAGGGUGUCCGACAGGCAAACCUUGGAGCAGAUCUUGACGCCUUAUGUCCACCCUACAGAGUCGGACCCUGUCACACGUCAAAAGUUGAAGAUGUAUGUGCAAACUCCGCAUGAUCAGGUCAAAAUCUUCAUGAAAGCAGAGGGGAGAAAGGCCAACUCUGUGAGGUGA